rnacentral:rRNA from 1 species
GAUAAACGCUGGCGGCGUGCCUAACACAUGCAAGUCGAACGAUCCCGCAAGGGAGAGUGGCGGAAGGGUGAGUAACACGUGGGAAUCUACCUCCUCGCAGGGAACAACCUCUCGAAAGAGAGGCUAAUACCCAAAAGGGUCAGAAAUGAUCAGAGUCGAAAGGCGUGAGGAGAGGAGCCCGCGGCCCAUCAGCUAGUUGGUGAGGUAAUGGCUUACCAAGGCUACGACGGGUAGGGGAUCUGAGAGGAUGUCCCCCACACUGGAACUGAAACACGGUCCAGACGCCUACGGGUGGCAGCAGUGAGGAAUAUUGGACAAUGGGCGAAAGCCCGAUCCAGCAACGCCGCGUGGAGGAUGAAGGCCUUCGGGUCGUAAACUUCUUUAGUAGGGAGACGAGAAAGGACGGUAUCCCUAGAAUAAGCGACGGCAAACUACGUGCCAGCAGCCGCGGUAA